AAAGGGAUAUGCUAAGUAGGCUACUUAGAAUCCGGGGGCCAACAGAGAGGCUUGCAGAGGACCGAAAAGUCCCGGAAGAUCCCAGGCCUUCUCUCCAACUCCCAAGGAAGUGAUCGAGCUGAGGACCGAACCCAGGGCCUUGCGCUCGCUGGGCAAGCGCUCUACUGCUGAGCUAAAUCCCCAACCCCAUGAUCUUCUAAUACUGAGCAUAAACUACCCCAGUCUAGAAGAGUCUUUGAUUAAGCUACAUCUUGGAGAUACGUGUGGCUUUAAAAUCCUUUUGAUUCAUCACAAGGCAAAUUAGGGACCCGUUCCCUACCUUGUUUGUGACAUUUCAUUAGUUCUGGAUGAGCAAUGAGAAGAAUGGAGUGCCAACUGUCUGGCAAGGCCACAUCUCUUGCCCUCUCUUCCUACUUCGACCAUUAGUUGGGACUUGUGACCUCUGUGCUUGUCUAGAACAUACCAUGGAGAGCUGUUCUCUGUCCGCUACUCAGCUGAGGACCGAGGGCUUGGGACCUUAUUUCCCAGAAUUCCGGGUUUGCGGCUGUUGGGGAACGUCUGAAGAAUGACUAAGAGAGCCAGGCUUUUAAAAGCCUUGGAAUGAGAGGGUUUAUUAGGCACGCAGCAAGCACAAAGGAAAGAACAGACAACGAGGGCAGCCGGAUGCGGCAGAAGGAGAACUAAAUGAUGAGUCAGACAUUCACAGCAUCCGGCAUGUCCGGUGGAUGAAGCAAACGGGACCGCCUCCUGAUGUGUUCAAAGCUGUGGGUGGGGCCGAGCAGUCUGUCCUGGAUGGCUGUGUGCUUCCACGCCCACAGCGAUGCUGGUACCCUGGGAUAACCAAUAGUGAUUUCUGCUGGGAAGGGCGUCUCCUUCUAACUCUUUCAAGAGCAUGGCGUUUUGAUUCUUGGGCUGAUUUGCCAUUUUGCUUUCUCCCUGGCAUAGGGUUAGGGGCCAGUUUGACAUAAGACAGGGGUUUCUGGUGGAUCCUUGACAUAAACAUGCUUGUCAGAGACAAGUGGGGGUCCUCCUCACUCCCAGGGUCUGCUCCUAACAAGCUUAAACAUCGCAUGGCAAUCAACCAACACAACCUUAUGUACCUCAGAGGAGAGCCAUGACACCCAAGACAAUCAAGCCAAAGCAAAACCCAGAGCCCCCUGCAAGUUCCUCUGGUAAUGGCAGAAGUAGGGUCCCACCACAGCCUUCAUGCAUCUAGUUCUGAGUUUUGUAUUUCUCUUUUUGUGUUGUGAAUGGACGGUUGACGAGACUCCUGUAGCUUCUGCCUCUCAUGUAGCCUAUGUUAACCUUGGAUACAUAUGUAGCCAAGGAUAACCUAGACUAUCCCUGCCUUAGAAGCUAUGUUUAAAAGAGAAAGUAGAAAGCUUUCAAUGCAUUGUUGUAACCCCGGUUCUUUACAUCCACCCCCUCACUGAAGAAUCUAGAGAAGGUUUUCGUUCCUACACCAACAAGUAAACACACUUCGCCAUACGAACAGCAACACCACAAACUCUGGUGUAUUUUAAUUUUAUAUAAAAGUGAUAAAGCUGUACAUGAAUGUAAAGCAGACAUUAGCUUAAAUUAAAUUUUAAAAGUCACGAUUAUAAUUUUGAUUGAAAUUCCUAAGUUUUAAAUAGUUGAAUAAAUUUAACGAUAACUAUUGCUACUAA